CAACUUUUGACGGGUGG
rnacentral:rRNA from 1 species